GAUGAACGCUGGCGGCGUGCCUAAUACAUGCAAGUCGAGCGAACUGAUUAGAAGCUUGCUUCUAUGACGUUAGCGGCGGACGGGUGAGUAACACGUGGGCAACCUGCCUGUAAGACUGGGAUAACUUCGGGAAACCGAAGCUAAUACCGGAUAGGAUCUUCUCCUUCAUGGGAGACGAUUGAAAGAUGGUUUCGGCUAUCACUUACAGAUGGGCCCGCGGUGCAUUAGCUAGUUGGUGAGGUAACGGCUCACCAAGGCAACGAUGCAUAGCCGACAUGAGAGGGUGAUCGGCCACACUGGGACUGAGACACGGCCCAGACUCCUACGGGAGGCAGCAGUAGGGAAUCUUCCGCAAUGGACGAAAGUCUGACGGAGCAACGCCGCGUGAGUGAUGAAGGCUUUCGGGUCGUAAAACUCUGUUGUUAGGGAAGAACAAGUACAAGAGUAACUGCUUGUGCCUUGACGGUACCUAACCAGAAAGCCACGGCUAACUACGUGCCAGCCGCCGCAGUAAAAC
rnacentral:rRNA from 1 species